GCGUGAGGAGCUGAUCGAACUGCCUAAUGGAAGGUGGGGGAUGGGAGGCCGAUCCAGGACCAGAGCUGGAAGGAAAGUGGGGGCGAUCACUCUGACAGGAUGCUUGUACCAGGGUGCUCAGGAUGGCUGUUCUUCACCCACUUGUUUCUGCCACACGCACGCACAUACGCACGCACGCGCACCAUGUGUACACAUGUACACACGCACGUACACACAAACACGUGUGUGCACAGGCACAUGCGUGUCCCAUCACAAACGAAAUUUGUUUUUUAAUUACUGUUUUUAAAAAUUAAUGAACUAUUUAAUUAAUGACAUGUCAAAGCCAUUUCGAAAUGCAGCUAAAGGAAGGAGUGAGUUAAUGAGUUCCUCUAGUACUUCCCGUGCCAGGCACUGUUUUCAGCACUUUACAGAUAUUAAGUCAUUUAACCUUCCAACAGUCCCCUGAGUGUGAUUCUGUUACUAUCCCCAUGAUAAAGAGAAGGUAACUGAGACUCAGCAAGGUUAGGUGAUUUGCCCAAGGUCACACAGUAUCUGCGAGAGCCGCAUUGAAUGCAGGCAAUCUGACUCUGGAGCUUCCAUGUUGAGCUGUAUCCCUCAGUCAUAUGCAAGAGAAAGAGGUUAAGGUCUAGGGUUAAGAACUGAGAAGUUUCAAACAGAAUGUGUGUGUUUGUGUGUGUACGGGGUGCGUACCUACGCUUUGAGAGUAAAGUAUUUGUCUGGACAUCCUAUUAAUGCCUGCUCACAAUUUAGCAAAUGCUAAAGGAUCAGGUUAAAUCUGUUUGCAUGUCCUUUGAUAAGAACAUUAAAUGUGGCUCCCCUUUCCUAAAUCUUCGUGGUUUGUAGCUGAAACAGCACGUUGACCUAGUCAUAAAGUUAAAACUACCAUCAGGGGGAGUGUUGGAUGCUGUGACCCCACUGAAGUUUCCCUCUGCAUUUCUGCGAGUGUGUACUCAUAGAGCAGGUCAAGGGCAGCCGCCUUAGGUGCUCUUUAGGCUCACCACAGAGAUUCCGAGGAAGAGCCAUCAUCUGAGGAACAUUGAUGCAAGGCGCAUCUGACUCCACGGAACAACAAUCUACGUUUUGCCAAAUGUUUUUAUUGUUUUAAAUAAUGGCCAUAGUGAUUUUCACGUGACGUUAAUUACACAGUAGGAGGUGUGGGAACACAGUGGCAUGUUUGAGCUUGGGGUCAGCCUGUCUCACGUCCUUCUCUGAGAGACGGUCACGAUUUUCCGUAUGUCUUUACUUUACGCCAUUGAACCGACUGGGAUCACCAUGGAAAUAAACAGCCCCCUCAUGAUACUG